rnacentral:misc_RNA from 1 species
GAUGAAGAACGUAGUGAAAUGCGAUACGUAAUGUGAAUUGCAGAAUUCAGUGAAUCAUCGAGUCUUGAACGCACAUUGCGCCCCCUGGUAUUCCGGGGGGCAUGCCUGUCCGAGCGUCAUUGCUGCCCUCAAGCACGGCUUGUGUGUUGGGCCUCCGUCCUCCUCCCGGGGGACGGGCCCGAAAGGCAGCGGCGGCACCGCGUCCGGUCCUCGAGCGUAUGGGGCUUCGUCACCCGCUCUUGUAGGCCCGGCCGGCGCUUGCCGACACAUCAAUCUUUUUUCCAGGUUGACCUCGGAUCAGGUAGGGAUACCCGCUGAACUUAAGCAUAUCAAUAAGCGGAGGA